AACGAACGCUGGCGGCAUGCCUAACACAUGCAAGUCGAACGAGACCUUCGGGUCUCGUUGCGCACGGGUGCGUAACGCGGGGGAACCUGCCCUUAGGUUCGGAAUAACUCCCCGAAAGGGGUGCUAAUACCGGAUAAGGUCCUCGGACCAAAGAUUUAUCGCCUUUGGAUGGGCCCGCGUUGGAUUAGCUAGUUGGUAGGGUAAAAGCCUACCAGGGCGACGAUCCAUAGCUGGUCGGAGAGGAUGAGCAGCCACACUGGGACGGAGACACGGCCCAGACUCCUACGGGAGGCAGCAGUGGGGAAUAUUGGACAAUGGGCGAAAGCCUGAUUAAGCCAUGCCGCGUGAGUGAUGAAGGCCUUAGGGUUGUAAAGCUCUUUUACCCGGGAUGAUAAUGACAGUACCGGGAGAAUAAGCACCGGCUAACUCCGUG
rnacentral:rRNA from 1 species